rnacentral:rRNA from 1 species
GGUUGAUCCUGCCAGUAGUCAUAUGCUUGUCUCAAAGAUUAAGCCAUGCAUGUCUGAGUACAGACCGAUCUAAGGUGAAACCGCGAAUGGCUCAUUAAAUCAGUCGUAAUUUCUUGGAUAGUGAAAAACUUUCCUCGGAUAACUGUGGAAAAUCCAGAGCUAAUACGUGCAACUGAGCUCCGACCUCGGCGCGAGCCUUGGGAAGAGCGCAUUUAUUAGAUUCAAAACUGACCGGGGUACUCCUUCGGGAUACGCCGAUUGUCAAAUGUUUGAUGACUCCGGAUAACUUAGCCGAGCGCUACGGUCUUUAGUACCGGCGCCGUAUCUUUCAAGUGUCUGCCUUAUCAGCUUUCGAUUGUAGGUUAAACGCCUACAAUGGCUGUAACGGGUAACGGGGAAUCAGGGUUCGAUUCCGGAGAGGGAGCCUGAGAAACGGCUACCACAUCUAAGGAAGGCAGCAGGCACGCAAAUUACCCACUCCCAGCCCGGGGAGGUAGUGACGAAAAAUAACGAUGCGAGACUCUUCCGAGGCCUCGCAAUCGGAAUGAGUCCAUCUUAAAUCUUUGGACGAGGAUCCAUUGGAGGGCAAGUCUGGUGCCAGCAGCCGCGGUAAUUCCAGCUCCAAUAGCGUAUAUUAAAGUUGCUGCGGUUAAAAAGCUCGUAGUUGGACUUUCUAGAUCCAUUUCGUGGGUGAGUCGCUAGUCGGUCUAGUGUUUCGCGCAAGUUGUUAGAUGACGUUGCGUCGCGGCGCGCGUUUCUCUACGUUCGCUCCGUUGCGCGGCUCUGUCGGUCCUUUGAUCGGUAGUAGUCGCUUUCGGUCGCGUUACGCUAGGGGCCGCCGUCGUUUCGUUUUACGGAAUCUCUCGGACUGCGGAACGCUGCCUUCCGGUAUAGCUCGUCCGCGUUUGGUACAAUUAAAAUUUUGUCGGCUCGCUCGGAGUGCUCUUUACCGAGUGUUCCAGGGUGGCCGACACGUUCACUUUGAAAAAAUUAGAGUGCUUAAAGCGGGCUUAUACACGGCCUGAAUGUCUGUGCAUGGAAUGAAGUAACAGGACCUCGAUUCUGUUCUUUUUGUCGGUUUUAAUGAACCGAGGUAAUGAUUAAAAGGGACAGACGGUGGCAUUAGUAUUGCGACGCUAGAGGUGAAAUUCUUGGACCGUCGCAAGACUAACUACUGCGAAAGCAUUUGCCGAGAAUGUUUUCAUUAAUCAAGAACGAAAGUUAGAGGAUCGAAGGCGAUCAGAUACCGCCCUAGUUCUAACCCUAAACUAUGCUAACUAGCGAUCCGCCGAAGUCAUUCCCACGACUCGGCGGGAAGCCCCA